UACAGAGGUCCCAAGCGUUGUUCGGAUUCACUGGGCGUAAAGGGUGCGUAGGUGGUGAGGUAAGUCGGAUGUGAAAGCUCGGAGCUCAACUCCGAAAUGGCAUUGGAAACUACCUUGCUCGAGGGUUGGAGGGGGGACUGGAAUGCUUGGUGUAACAGUGAAAUGCGUAGAUAUCAAGCGGAACACCAGUGGCGAAGGCGAGUCCCUGGACAACUCCUGACACUGAGGCACGAAAGCUAGGGGAGCAAACAGG
rnacentral:rRNA from 1 species